UAUGUUCCAAGCGUUAUCCGGAUUUAUUGGGCGUAAAGCGAGCGCGAGACGGUUAUUUAAGUCUGAAGUGAAAGCCCUCAGCUCAACUGAGCAAUCCGUAAGGAAACCUGGAUGCCAUUGAGUGCCUUAGAGAAAAUGUGGACAUCCACGCGUCGCGCAGAGAUGUGCAGUUAUAUGGAAGAACACCCAGGUGCGACCGGUGCUUUAUGCAACUGUACCUGAGAGGGGGGCUCGAAAGUGUGGGUAGCAAACAGGAUUAGAUCCCCUGUUAGCCCACACCAUAUAACCGAUGAGUGCUAGGACCAUGAGGGUUUCCCGCCGUUGUGGGCCGCAGUUAACGCAUUAACCUCUCUGGUCGGGGGAGUACGACCGCAAGGUUGAAACUCAAAGGAAUUGCUGGGGACCCACACAAGUGGUGGAGCAUGUGGUUUAAUUUGACGCAACGCGAGGAACUUUACCAGGUUUUGACAUCCUGUGACAACUCCAGAGAUGGAGCGUUCCCUUGGGGGACAGGGUGACAGGUGGUGCCUGGUUGUCGUCAGCUUGUGUCAAGUGAUGUUGGGUUAAGUCCCGCAAUGAGCCCAACCCUUACUACUAGUUUACAGCACUCAGGGGGGCUCUCUAGUGAGACGCCCGGCGACAAACCGGAGGAAGGUGGGGAUGACGUCAAAUCAUCAUGCCCUUUAUGUCCUGGGCCACACACGUGCUACAAUGGCGUAUACAACGAGUUGCCAACCCGCGAGGGUGAGCUAAUCUCUUAAAGUACGUC
rnacentral:rRNA from 1 species